GUCGAAGUGGUGGAAUUGGUAGACACGCUAUCUUGAGGGGGUAGUGGGGUAUCCCGUGGGGGUUCGAGUCCCCCCUUCGACACCA
rnacentral:tRNA from 5 species